GCGCCCAACACGCCCACGUGGGCGACCCGGCACUGCUGAGGCCCCGGCCCGAAGCCGUGCGGGCGUGGAGAGGAAGUUCUGGGAGUGGGGUGGCGAGAGGGGCCCCUGGCGGGCAAGCAGAGCUCGGGCCUCGCGUCCGCUCUGGGAUCCCAGGCUGAAGAAGCUCCGUCGCAGUUGCGGGCCAGAGAGGGUUAGACUCGGCUGGCGGUGGUGCCCCCAGAAGAUCCGGACCCAAGACGCGGCGCACGCGGAAGAUAACCCAAGUGCUGCCCUCUGAAGUAAUCUGCACAGUAGUCCCUGAAGUAGAUGUCCUUAUUCUUCACAUCUAUGAAUGAGGCACCUGAGACACGGAGAGAUUUCUGGACUUCUGGGGAUCCCACAUGGCAGAGCUGGGGCUUAAGCUCAGGACUUUGUGAGGCCUUAUUCCGAAAUUGCCAUUGCACCCAGCUGCCUCAUAGAGCAAGGCAGAGGUGACUUUGUUAAGAGAGCUCUUUGCAAAACAAAAGUUCUUUAUCCAGGCACACUAUUGUGAGAGCUUAAGAAAUGUUUGCUUGUGGUGACAUGGGCUACAAAUAGCUUUCCUCACAGUCUCCUAGGUCUGCUGUGGGACCCUAAUGUGAAAGCCUCACUGAAAGAGAACCAGCAGCUGUGGAGUAGUAGACCACACCUUGGGACCCAGGAGUGGUGUGGUGCAGGGAGCCGAGUUCAGGCUAAGGCAUCUAUGGAGCAUCUCAAUGCAGCCCUCCUGCUCAGGUCUGGGAACUCUGAAAGAUACCAGGGGACCUAGGGAAGCACCAAGGAGUGGGGUCAGGGUGUGCCUGAGUGGGCAGAGGAUACAGAGGGACCCUUGCAGUCAUCAUCUUGCAGACAAUGGUUAAUUUUAACCCAAACCUCAAAUCCAGCAAGGCCAGCCCUUGAGAGUCAGCCAGAAUACAAGUUCAGGCUCCAUCACCAACUAAUGUGGCUUUGGAUCCUGGCUCUUUUCCUCCUUCACUUUGCUGAGCAUGUGUUCUCUCAGCUGUAAGAAUGGAACUAAGGAUUCUUAUGGUGCAUAGUGGUGAAUUCAGAAAGAGAAUCAUACGCAUCCUGCUCCAGUACAACCCCUCAUCUUACACAAAAGAGAGCCAGUUUGCACUAGGGAGGGAAGCAGCCCAAGAGAGAUUCAAGGAUUAAAUGGAGUGGAAGGGCCUGAUGUGUACCUCACCUUCUAAACUCAUGGCAUUGGAAGGGACCUUGUUCAAGCCCCUCAUUUUCCUGAGGGGAGGAAAAAACUAGUCAGCCAACUAGUUAGUGUGACUGAACCAUGCAUGCUUUCCCACAUUUCCUUUCCAAGGCAGCAUUGUUGUGACAGGGUCUGCUGGGUGUGCAGAAAAAUAAAAAGCUGGACCCACAUGGGAAUCUGAUGGUGCUGUCUCUGGGCUAGUUCUUUCUCCUCCAGUGAGAAAAGUUGAAUAAGCCCAGUGUCACAAAACCCCCUAGGAAGAGUGAGAAGUUACUUUUUCUCAGUUCCAAGAGACCCUUACAUGCCCUCCCCAGUUUGGGUGAUAAUGGGUAAGUGGCUACUGAUGGAUGCAACUCUGUUCUGGCGCCUGGUUUCCUGGGGCCCAGCCAGUCCUGCUUUGCAGAGGUUGUCCUUGUCCUUGGAAGGGAAACAUUAGCCCAGUUAAUUUUUCAUCAUGGUAAGUGCAAAGUUCAGGAGAGGUGGGAUGGGGGUGGAGGCACAGCUCUGUCUCCCUGGGAAUAGUCAGCCCUAUCAGGAGCCUCCAGACAGACAUGCCAAAGCAUGUUUGGAGCAGCUCCCAGGUGGAACCCUGGAGAGAAACGAACACCUGACUUGGGUUAUGUUUUUUUCCCAUUAGCCAAAGGGUGUUUAAUCAGCAAGUGGUGAGUCUAGAAAGAACAUUGGGAUCAUUCUGUCUUCAUUUUACAGAGACAGAAAGGGAUAUCUGAGGAAGGGAGGUGAGCAGGUUGGAACUAGAACUCUCCUGAGCGUGUCCUCACCCAGAAGAGGGCCUCUACCUACAGCCAGGUCUCUGUAGCUCUUUAUAGCACCUUACCCAGUGGGCUCUCCUGGUACCAGACAACCUGGGUUAAACUUCCAUCUUCACCACUUCCAGCUGUGUAACUUAACUCUUAUGUGUCAGUUUCCUCGACCAUAUAAUGGGAAUGGUAAUAAAAUUGCUUCUUAGAUUA